UUUCUGAGCAGCCCCGGGUUUCUCAGCUUCUGACUGUCUCCGGUGUGAGACCGCCAUUGCUAGUCUGCCAGGACCUCUUUCUUGGCUGGAAAAGGGACUUCUGAAGGGGUCACUGAAGUGUUGUCUCCUCUUUUAUUAGCUUCCACUUGGAUGGCAGAUGCACCUAAGCAUCAGUUGCUGACUACAACCUGCUCUGAA